CAGCCGCCGCGGGAAAACGGAGGGUGCAAGCGUUAAUCGGAAUUACUGGGCGUAAAGCGCACGCAGGCGGUCUGUCAAGUCAGAUGUGAAAUCCCCGGGCUUAACCUGGGAACUGCAUUUGAAACUGGCAGGCUAGAGUCUUGUAGAGGGGGGUAGAAUUCCAGGUGUAGCGGUGAAAUGCGUAGAGAUCUGGAGGAAUACCGGUGGCGAAGGCGGCCCCCUGGACAAAGACUGACGCUCAGGUGCGAAAGCGUGGGGAGCAAACAGGAUUAGAUACCCGCGUAGUCCCUGUCUCUUAUAC
rnacentral:rRNA from 1 species